CCGGCAUGUCGUUGGAGUACUGAAGAAACUGGGCCACAUACGUCAUAAUGGACUUCUCAUCAGGGUCUGUAACAUCCACAUCUGAGGAGCAGCAGUAGCAGAUUAAUAAUGUUUUGGCAUGAGUUUACCAUUGACACUCACAUGACAGUGGAGGAUGAUGGUCCAUAUGAGUCCGAGAAUGAUGGAGGGCCGUCCAUCUAUGAUAUCUGGGAUGUUUAUAUUCACCAUUUUGAUCUACACCAACCGACCACAACAACUGUUAAUAAAAACACACUGCAGAUUCA